rnacentral:rRNA from 1 species
AGAAUCAACGCUGGCGGCGUGCCUAACACAUGCAAGUCGAACGCGAAAGUCCCGCAAGGGAUGAGUAGAGUGGCAAACGGGUGAGUAACACGUGGGUGACCUGCCUUCGAGCGGGGGAUAACGUCCCGAAAGGGACGCUAAUACCGCAUAACAUGCCGCUUUUUAACAGGUGGACAUCAAAGCUGGGGAUCGCAAGACCUAGCACUUGAAGAGGGCCCGCGCCUGAUUAGCUAGUUGGUGGGGUAAUGGCUCACCAAGGCAACGAUC